rnacentral:rRNA from 1 species
ACGGGUGAGUAACGCGUGGGUAACCUGCCUUAUACAGGGGGAUAACAGUUAGAAAUGACUGCUAAUACCGCAUAAGCGCACAGGAUUGCAUGAUCUGGUGUGAAAAACUCCGGUGGUAUAAGAUGGACCCGCGUCUGAUUAGCUGGUUGGUGGGGUAACGGCCCACCAAGGCGACGAUCCAUAGCCGGCCUGAGAGGGUGAACGGCCACAUUGGGACUGAGACACGGCCCAGACUCCUACGGGAGGCAGCAUG